CAGCAGCCGCGGUAAUACGAAGGGGGCUAGCGUUGUUCGGAUUUACUGGGCGUAAAGCGCACGUAGGCGGACUUUUAAGUCAGGGGUGAAAUCCCGGGGCUCAACCCCGGAACUGCCUUUGAUACUGGAAGUCUUGAGUAUGGUAGAGGUGAGUGGAAUUCCGAGUGUAGAGGUGAAAUUCGUAGAUAUUCGGAGGAACACCAGUGGCGAAGGCGGCUCACUGGACCAUUACUGACGCUGAGGUGCGAAAGCGUGGGGAGCAAACAGGAUUAGAUACCCCCGUAGUCCCUGUCUCUUAUAC
rnacentral:rRNA from 1 species